GGGGGGUAAGAUGUACGCAGUCCAUACCUCUACCUCUGAUGAAGUAGAAAGGCUGUUUCCGAUAGACCCCCGGCUCAAGACACGAGAUACCACACAAACACAUAGUAAAGCACAGAAGCAGAUUACAUAACAUAAAUACAGCACCCAUAAGUAAUAUAAAACAGAGGAAAGCAGAGGAAAGCACACAGAUUCGUAAUAAAACAUGGAACACGGAACACGGAAUCAUAACAGGAAUAAAACCCCCACCAAGUAAUCCCUACACUAGGUCAUGUCCUCGGUGAGCUGUAACUGUUCCAUGUCCCGCCUAAUCACCUCACCCCAGUACUUCUUCGGUCUACCCCUACCCCGUCUAAAACCAUCCAACGCUCGCCUCUCACACCUACGGACCGGGGCAUCACUACCCCUCCUCUUCACGUGACCGAACCAUCUCAAGCGUGCUUCCCACAUCUUGCACUCCACUGAAGUCACACCAACCUUCUCCCGGAUAGUCUCAUUCCGGACUCUAUCCCCUCUAGUCAGUCCACACAUCCAGCGCAACAUCCGCAUUUCUGCCACCUUCAUUUUUUGGAUGUGGGAGUUCUUAACUGGCCAACACUCCGCUCCAUACAGCAAGGCCGGACGGACUACCACCCUAUAGAAUUUGCCUUUAAGCUUGGGCGGCACCUUCUUAUCACACAGCACCCCCGAUGCGAGUUUCCACUUCAUCCAUCCCGCCCCAAUACGGUGCGAGACAUCCUCGUCAAUCUCACCGUUACUCUGGAUCACGGACCCGAGAUACUUGAACUUAUCCCUCUUCCCUACCUCCUGUGCUUCUAGCCUCACUACUACCUCAUUCUCCCGCCUCACGUCAUUAAACUUACAUUCCACAUACUCUGUCUUGGUUCUGCUCACCCUGAACCCUUUAGACUCCAGAGUUUGCCUCCACAACUCUAAUUUGUCAUUCACACCCCCUCGAGUCUCAUCUAUCAGGACUACAUCGUCUGCAAAAAGCAUACACCACGGCACCUCCCCUUGGAUACGCCGCGUCAACACAUCCAUUACUAACGCAAACAAAAAGGGACUAAGAGUAGAUCCCUGAUGCAAUCCUGUCAGGACAGUGAAAUGCUCUGAGUCUCCUCCCGCCGUCCUCACCUGGGUUUUCGCUCCCUCAUACAUAUCCUUAAUUACUCUGAUAUAUGCCUGCGGUACUCCACUCACCUCCAAGCAUCUCCAAAGCACUUCCCUGGGGACUUUGUCGUACGCCUUUUCCAGGUCGAUGAACACCAUGUGCAGAUCCUUCUUCCUCUCCCUAUACUGCUCCACCAACCUCCGUACCAGGUGGAUUGCCUCCGUCGUCGAGCGGCCGGGCAUAAAUCCGAACUGGUUUUCCGAAAUAGACACUAUCCGUCUCAGCCUCACCUCGACCACUCUCUCCCAUAUCUUCAUAGAGUGACUCAGUAACUUAAUCCCCCUAUAGUUAUUGCAACACUGAAUGUCCCCCUUAUUCUUAUAGAGGGGGAUCAUGGUACUCCACCUCCACGCCUCGGGCAUCUUUGCCGUCCUGAAAAUUUCAUUGAACAAUGCAGUCAACCACCUUACACCAGCCUCUCCAACGAACUUCCAAAACUCCACCGGUAUCUCAUCCGGCCCCGUCGCCCUACCCCUUCGCAUCCUGCGGACUGCCUGUCUAACCUCGUCUACCUUAAAACGUCUACAAUAGCUAAAAUCCCGACACUCCCCUGAGUGCUCCAGUUCCCCUAACACAAUAGCUCUGUCCCCCUCGUCAUUCAAGAGCCUAUGAAAGUACGACUGCCAUCUCUUCUUUAUGUGGCCGUCCUCCACCAACACUCUACCGUCCUCCCCCUUAAUGCACCGCACCUGAUCGAGGUCACGACCCUUCCUCUCCCUAGCCUUAGCGAGUCGGAACAACUUUUUCUCCCCUCCUUUCCCCUGUAACCCUGCAUACAAGCUCUCAAAAGCAGCCGUCUUAGCUGCCGUGACCGCUGACUUCGCCUCCUUCCUCGCUAGCUUGUACUCUUUCCUGUUUACCCGCUUCUCCUCUUCGUCCUUACUUUCCACCAACUUAGCAUACGACUCUUUCUUGGUCUCCACUUUCUUCCCCACCUCUUCAUUCCACCACCAAUCCCCCCGAUGAUGUCCGGCCCGGCCCCUAGAAACACCCAACACCUCCCUUGCAUUUUCCCUGAUGCACGCUGCCGCCCUGUCCCACAUAUUAUCCACGUCCCCCCUACACUCCCACACCCCCAUUCCCGCCAACCUCUCCCCUAUCUCCCACGCAUUCACUGGCGUCAAACCGCCCCACUUAAUUCUCGGUCUACACUCCUUACUCCUCCUCUUUUUAUUCUUCUUCAUACCCAAAUCCAUAACCAAGAGCCUAUGUUGGGUCGAAAGGUUCUCACUCGGGAUGACAGCAGCAGACUUUUGUAUUUUAUAUUCUUUAUGAUAUGAAAAAACUGUAUAUAUUAAUAUUAAUUAAACGCAAGUUGCCCUAACAUUGAAAAAAGGAAAAAGUACUCUUAAUUAUAGUUAACUUUUUAUUUUUAGAAUACCUUUAUAACUCUAUAUUUAUAAUAUUUGAUUUUUUUUAGCUGAAUCCCCGCACCCGUAUCCAUACUCGAAUUUGCACCCCCGAAUCUUAAAAUUUAUAUUUUAAAGAAUCCGACUCUCGGAUCCGCACCCGUCUUGGAUACCCGCACCCGAGUCCGAGCAACUUAGAUGAAAUAUGCCAAUUUAUCCUAAAAUACCAUGCAUGAAUGCCAUGAAUUAUGCAUGAAUCACAUACAUUGUAAAGAAAUUUCUGUCAAUUAGCCUCAUUUUCAUCAACUCCAUGCGAGUUAAUCAUACUUUAUGUCAAUAACCAGCCAAACCAAAUCAAGAAAUCUUCGACUAAAGUCAAAUUAUGAUUCUUAUUCACAUAUAUCGUCAGGCAAGGUCAAUAAGCAUUAAACACAUACAACAGCUAAAAAAUCAAUUUAUUAUCCGUACAUAGCACCCGGUACUUGCAUAUAUGCUCGUCACCCAACUAUAUGUUACCCCCAUUAAAAAAUAUUAGCGUUGAACCAGGCCAGUUCAGGAAACAGGUUAAGGAGUGACGUGACUUCACCGGUUAGGGCUAGUCCCAAGCCAUCGGUUGGAUAAUUGGACCCGUGCAGGAUUGGUCUGUUAAGGUGUCCCAACCUAGCCCUCUCCCCUUUACUUGGACCGGUGUGGAUGGAAACUCAUUCAUUCCGGUCCGGUUCUUGGUUGCCUUGGACCGUUAGAGAGGUUUAAUUUCUACCUAUGUGUCCAGGCCUCGGUGAAUAGAGUUAUUUGGUACCUGUGUUGGUGGAAGGUAGCAGAUACUGUAUGAAAUUAAUUGAGGUGCACAAACUGGCCCGGGCACCAUUGUUAUAAAAAAAUGUCUUUAACUAAAUGGUACUUGUCAGCCAAAAAACAAAAGGAACGUCUGUAAUUGACUGGUUAUCGAAUGUGAAUGUUGAUUCUUGUAUUUAAAAUAACCAUGAUUGUUCUCGUGGUUGGCAAUCUCUAGUAUUAAGCAGACAUCAUCUUUUUCUUGCCCUUUAUGUUCUUUGUUAAAUCAUGUUGGCCUCCCAGAAGCUAUCCUGCUUGCCUUUAAUUUUAUGAACUCGGCCCAUUUCUUCUAUGAAACACGACUACUUGGAAAGUUUCAUGAUCUCUGUCUACAGGUGAUUAAGGCUUAUGCUUUCAACAAGGCAUGGAUCUUUGGCUUGCUUAUGGAUUUGUUUGGAGCAGUCUUGAUGUUGCGAGCACUAUCUCUAGCCCCAGUAAGUGCAUUUCCAGCAAGCUCUCUCUUAUGCAUGUUUAGGGAAUUGAACUUGAUACUUUGAAAGUAAAUCCAUUAUUAGAGAAAACCCUAAACAUGAUGUUUCUUUCUUAUAUUGAUAGCUAGACAAAUCCUUCACACUUACCAUUUCAAUGAUAUACUCCAGGUAUCAGUCAUUCAACCAGUUUCUGGCUGUGGACUUGCUAUACUUUCGGUCUUUUCCCAUUUUUAUCUAAAGGAGAUCAUGAAUGUUAUUGAUUGGAUAGGAAUUACCUUGGCGGGCAUUGGCACCAUAGGUAAUGUAAGUUCCUUAACACUGCAUUCAUUAAAAGAACUAAUAAGGCUAUGGAAAACAAAGAAACAGUUCAUUUUCCUCUGUAUUGCUAAGCAUGAGUUACUGGAUAGAUGGUCCCAUGCAUACAGGGGGAAAGUCAUCUAUUUACAGUGACUACUUGAACUAGUCAUUUUUCCACGGGAUGAAUUAGUUGACAAGAUGAGCGUGCUGCCUCACACCAGGUUUUGUACAUCUGGUCCAUCAGGUUAUCCUGGUUGAAGUUGGAUUGUUGUUUUGUUAGAGGAUAUUUCUCUUGAUAUUUGGCAUUUAAUCAACCUGUUCUUCUAGUAUUAAUAUUCAGAAAAUUUUGUAACUUUUGAUUCUUCUGUUUUCUCAUUUAGAUCUGAUUUGAUAUGCGUUACUUGAGCUGAGGGUAUUUCGGAAACAAUCUCUCUACCUCCAUGAGGUACGGGUAAGGUCUGCUUACAUGCUACCCUCCCCGGACCCCAUCUGUGGGGAUUACCUGGGUAUGUUGUUGUUGGUUGCUUCUGAUUAAUCUACCUUCCUUCAGUUCAAGCACCGAUGCAGUUAAUCUGUUUUAUUUUUGGUUAACUUAUAAUUUAACUUGGGAACCUCAUAGAAAAGUAAAGAGACUGAAACCUGAUCAAAUGGAAGGUGAGGCAAUUACCUGUACGGUCUUACAAAAUUUGGCUUGGUUCAAAAUUGGUUUGUAUUAUUGUUCUGCGAGGUCUUCAUGUCUUAUUGGUUGUGAAAAAAUCAUCCGUUUGUUACUCUUUCAAUUCCUUAUGAUGCUUUGGCUGACGUGUAAUAUAUCAUCUUCUUAGUUGAACCAGUGGCCAAUGUCUAUAUAUACAUAGGUUUAUUCCAAUGUCCUGGAAUUGAGUAAUCAAUAUAAUGCUCUUUUGUGGGAUGUGAAAAAUGAAGCUCUGGCUCUCUAUAUGAGGCUAGAUGAAAGAAAGAAAAGUAAGAAGUUACAAGGGGAAAGUAAUGAAGAUGUGGAAGAAGUUAGAAACAGGGGGGAAGAUCUUCUGUCAACUUAUCAAUGAAUGUAAAAUUAAUAUCAUGAAAUAUCUGGGGACUUAGCAUGAUUUCUAAAAGGAAUCUCGUUAAGAGUCUAAUUGAGAAAUGGAGAGCAAACUUCUAUUGUUUCCUGGAAACAAAAUUAGAAAAGGACGUGGAUAAUGGAUAUUAUGGCCAAGCAACAAUGGGCAUGUAGAUGAUGAGAUGGGUAUAUGUUGAAGCUGAGGGUGGCAGUAGUGCGAUUCUAAUGUUAUGAGACAGUAGCAUGUGAAAGGCGAACGGAUUGCAAGUGACUGUUAUAUUCGAUCACCUAUAGUUUUGAAUCUGUGCAACAAUCUUUUAAGUGGUGUCUAAUGGAAGUGUAUGGACCACAUACCAGAAGGGAAAGGAAAUUAUGCUGGGAGGAGAUUUCAUCAUUCAGGUAUUUAUGCGAGUGUCCAUGGGUAUUCUGUGGUGAUUUCUACACUAGCGGGUUUUUGUAUGAAAGAAGGAAAUGUAUCACUAAUGCAAUGGUUGACUUCUUAGACUGGAUAGAAGACAUGGAGCUCUUCAAUCCACCAUUGUAUAAGGGCAGAUUUACCUGGUUAAGAGGGAUUAGUCACUACAGUGCAGCUAGGCUUGACAAAUUCUUAUUCAGUGGAAUGGAAGGAAACUUCUAGGAGCAUAAAACAAAGGAUAUUGCCCGGGUGAAUUUCAGAUCACAGCCCACUUCUUUUUUGAGUGGGGAAACUGGUAGCAAAAUAGAGCUUCUUUUGAAUUUGAAUAUUGGUGGUUAGGGGUGGAGGGAUUUAAUGAUCAGCUUUUGAGGUCUCUCUGGAAGGAUAAGAUAAUCAAUGAGUUGAAGUUUGAUGAAAGAAAAAAUCAUGUUAUAAAUUCAUUAUAUUUGUGUAGAGGACUUUAGUAAAUGUAAUAAAGAACAUACUAAAAUAAUUAAAAAGUAAGCAACAACAGCAACAUUCCUAGUAUGGUGCCACAAGUGGGGUCUAGGGAGGGUGAGGUGUAUCCAAACCUUACCCCUACCUUAGUGGGUAGAAAGACCAUUGCCGAUAAUCCUCGACUCGAGGAAAUCUUAUUACGGAACAGGUUUGAAAAGAAUGCAAGAUUAAGAAAGCUAUAAUGAAGACACUGAAGAAAUAAACAUAUGGACCACAAAAUAUUAAAGAUAAAAUAACUAAAGUAAACGAAACAAUAGAAGUAAUAAAUUCGAAGAUAAGAUACAACAACAACAACAAACCCAGUGUAUUCCCACCUAGUGGGGUCUGGGGGGGUAAGAUGUACGCAGUCCAUACCUCUACCUCUAAAGAAGUAGAAAGGCUGUUUCCAAUAGACCCCUGGCUCAAGGCAUGAGAUACCACACAAACACAUAGUAAAGCACAGAAGCAGAUUACAUAACAUAAAUACGGCACCCAUAAGUAAUACAAAACAGAGGAAAGCAGAGGAAAGCACACAGAUUCGUAAUAAAACAUGGAACACGGAACACGGAAUCAUAACAGGAAUAAAACCCCCACCAAGUA
rnacentral:lncRNA from 1 species